rnacentral:rRNA from 1 species
AUUGAACGCUGGCGGCAGGCCUAACACAUGCAAGUCGAGCGGAUGAGAGAAGCUUGCUUCUCGAUUCAGCGGCGGACGGGUGAGUAAUGCCUAGGAAUCUGACUGGUAGUGGGGGACAACGUUUCGAAAGGAACGCUAAUACCGCAUACGUCCUACGGGAGAAAGCAGGGGACCUUCGGGCCUUGCGCUAUCAGAUGAGCCUAGGUCGGAUUAGCUUGUUGGUGAGGUAAUGGCUCACCAAGGCGACGAUCCGUAACUGGUCUGAGAGGAUGAUCAGUCACACUGGAACUGAGACACGGUCCAGACUCCUACGGGAGGCAGGAGUGGGGAAUAUUGGACAAUGGGCGAAAGCCUGAUCCAGCCAUGCCGCGUGUGUGAAGAAGGUCUUCGGAUUGUAAAGCACUUUAAGUUGGGAGGAAGGGUUGUAGAUUAAUACUCUGCAAUUUUGACGUUACCGACAGAAUAAGCACCGGCUAACUCUGUGCCAGCCGCCGCCGUAACAC